AUGGAACCAUGAGGGUGGAACCAUGAUGAUGGAUCCAUGAGGAUGGAACCAUGAGGGUGGAUCCAUGAGGGUGGUACCAUGAGGGUGGAACCAUGAUGAUGGAACCAUGAGGGUGGUACCAAGGGAAUGGAACCAUGAUGAUGGAUCCAUGAGGAUGGAACAAUGGGGAUGGAUCCAUGAGGCAGCCUGAGGUUAGAUCUUCAACACUACUGACCAAACACCAUCACUCUGGCCCUAGCAUGUGUGUGUUAACGUGUUUUAACGUGUGUGUGUGUGUGUGUGUGUGUGUGUGUGUGUGUGUGUGUGUGUGUGUGUGUGUGUGUGUGUGUGGUAUCGUGGUGUGAAAAAUAAUUGUUACUUUUUUUGCAAUUUAAAACGAUUAAAAGUUGCCGGGGACAACAUUUCCCUGGACCCUAGGCUACUGAAAAUGUUCCCGGACCCUAGGCUACUGAAAAUGUUCCCGGACCCUAGGCUACUGAAAAUGUUCCCUGACCCUAGGCUACUGAAAAUGUUCCCGGACCCUCGGCUACUGAAAAUGUUCCCAGACCCUAGGCUACUGAAAAUGUUCCCAGACCCUAGGCUACUGAAAAUGUUCCCAGACCCUCGGCUACUGAAAAGGUUCCCAGACCCUAGGCUACUGAAAAUGUUCCCAGACCCUAGGCUACUGAAAAUGCUACUGAAAAUGUUCCCAGACCCUCGGCUACUGAAAAUGUUCCCUGACCCUAGGCUACUGAAAAUGUUCCCGGACCCUAGGCUACUGAAAAUGUUCCCCGGACCCUCCCGAUUUACAAAUUAAUCAGUGUGUGUGUGUGUGUGUGUGUGUGUGUGUGUGUGUGUGUGUGUGUGUGUGUGUGUGUGUGUGUGUGUGUGUGUGUGUGUGUGUGUGUGUGUGUGUGUGUGUGUGUGUGUUUGUCUAAGAAACAACUUCCUGCUAUGAAAAAGGGUGAAAGGUCACAAACCACGGUUUGGGCAGAUUAGAAGUGUUGGGUCCUUCCUGGUAUGAAAAAGGGUGAAAGGUCACAAACCCGGGUUUGGGCAGAAUAGAAGCGUUGGUUUCUAUUAUUGAUGUUACUAUGUGGACCGGACUGGGUCUGUGUUUUUAUUUUAUUUACCACAACUAGAACCCGUGGAACCGUCUAGACGUGUUGUUUCCUUGUGAUGAGAUUGCUGUGGAACAGGAUUAUUAUUAUUAUUGUUAUUGUUAUUAUUAUUAUGCAUCUGAUCAUCUAUUACUCUAAAUGACGACGAGCAAUAAAGUUGAGAUCCUUUUUUCAAAUAUAUAUAUUGCAUGUUUUACUAAAAAACGUUGGUCUUAGUCAAUAAAAAGAGUUUUUAAGACA
ensembl:lncRNA